AUUGAAAACAUAAUACUUAUUUAUUUCUUAACAAAAUAUUCAUAACAAUGCAGAAUAAAAGUCUAUCAAUGAGAAAUCCAGCCACCAUAUAUUUGUUCAAAUUCUUUGGCAAUUAAUAGACAAAGAUAAUCUUGAUUAGCUGCAGAUAUUACCUGAAACAAAAUUAAAAAUAAAUUUUACAAAAAUAGAAAUUCU